AAAGAUAAAGCUCAUAGCCAUGGCACUCACUGCCAUGGCAGUCCACUGCCUAAAAAAAAAUAAAAAAAUUCUAAGUCCCUAAAGUGCUCUAAAACGUGAUGAAGGCAGCCAUUGCUGGCAAGCCUCACGACCAGAAGCAGUAGCAAACAAGCAGCCAUGGACGUGCAUAUUGCUUCCAAGGAAAAAGUCUUGCCCUUAUGGAUUAAUUAUUAGUUCAUUUGGAAAUCAAGAACACCUAAUUUUAGGGAGGUUAAGAGAAACAUUUACACUUCAUUUUAAGAAAGGAAUUGGGCAGCAACGUUCAAGUAAUUAUGGUGAAACUUUUGCUUCAAUGGAUAAUUAGAGGCAGCAAGUUCAAGUCAACCAAAGCUUAGAUGAUUUGGGAUCUAUGGUGACAAUCUUACAAGAACAUGUAUGCAACAACUUGUCUUAAUUUUAAGGCUAAAAGAGCGACGAGGCGAACGGAUUUACGAAUAGUCGCUAACAGGUGCAGAUACUCGCUUUGGUGAUCCGCCAGUUUAGGAUUCCCUUUCUGCUGUCUGGGAGAGCUCCGUUGUUUCGGAGCCUAGACUUUCGGUACAGAUCUUAUGAUAUAUAUAUAUAUGCUUAUUCAGGGGUACGGCGGGGCCCUGUCCCGUCAUAUUUCGCUAUUCGUACUCUUAGAGGUCUGUAGACAUAUGUGUGGGUUGUGUAUGAGUUCUGUUCACCUGUGUCUAUACGAUGCGCUAUGAUAUGAUGUUCGUAUGCAUCGGCAUCCUUGUCGGCUUGCGUAUUAUUUCAUGAUAUGAUUAGUUGUGACUCCUCAGGAGACAGUUGAUCUGGAAAUAUAUAUAUGACGAUGU